GACGUAGGGCGCGAGCGUUGUCCGGAUUUAUUGGGCGUAAAGAGCUCGUAGGCGGCUUGUCGCGUCGUCCGUGAAAACUUGGGGCUCAACCCCCAGCCUGCGGUCGAUACGGGCAGGCUAGAGUUCGGUAGGGGAGACUGGAAUUCCUGGUGUAGCGGUGAAAUGCGCAGAUAUCAGGAGGAACACCGGUGGCGAAGGCGGGUCUCUGGGCCGAUACUGACGCUGAGGAGCGAAAGCGUGGGGAGCGAACAGG
rnacentral:rRNA from 1 species